rfam:Bacillus litoralis strain C44 Scaffold19, whole genome shotgun sequence.
UGACUGCGAUGAAGCAGGAGGUUGCCGAUACACACGGCCGCUUUGCCAUGGCGUGCGUAGGGAAAAUUCUUGCUGAGAAAAUGUCUAUUUUAAAAAUAGGCGAAAA